rnacentral:rRNA from 1 species
CCUACGGGCGGCAGCAGUGGGGGAUAUUGCACAAUGGGGGGAACCCUGAUGCAGCGACGCCGCGUGGGUGAAGAAGCGCCUCGGCGCGUAAAGCCCUGUCAGCAGGGAAGAAAAUGACGGUACCUGAAGAAGAAGCCCCGGCUAACUACGGGCCAGCAGCCGCGGUGAUCCGUAGGGGGCAAGCGUUAUCCGGAUUUACUGGGUGUAAAGGGGGCGCAGGCUGGGAUGCAAGCCAGGAGGGAAAGCCGGGGGCCCAACCCCGGGACUGCUCUUGGAACUGCGUGGCUGGAGUGCAGGAGGGGCAGGCGGAAUUCCUGGUGUAGCGGUGAAAUGCGUAGAUAUCAGGAGGAACACCGGUGGCGAAGGCGGCCUGCUGGACUGCAACUGACGUUGAGGCCCGAAAGCGUGGGGAGCGAACAGGAUUAGAUACCCUUGUAGUC